rnacentral:ncRNA from 1 species
UAGAUAGAGGUUGCGCUCUUUAAGAGUAAAAUGCCGGAUGUUCAGGGCAGAAGAAAGUAUUUGAAAGGAAAGAGUGCCGAAAGGAUAUGAUGCCUGAGGUCGUAUUGCUUGGGCAUGGCGUGAAGAACGUCAUGACUGUCAUCGUAAGAUGGAGUGCUAUCUGA